rnacentral:rRNA from 1 species
CACACAGUAAACGAUGAAUACUCGCUGUUUGCGAUAUACAGUAAGCGGCCAAGCGAAAGCAUUAAGUAUUCCACCUGGGGAGUACGCCGGCAACGGUGAAACUCAAAGGAAUUGACGGGGACCCGCACAAGCAGCGGAGCAUGUGGUUUAAUUCGAUGCAACGCGAAGAACCUUACCAAGGCUUGACAUCCCUCUGAAGUAUAUAGAGAUAUAUACGGCUUUUAGGAGACAGAGGAGACAGGUGG